GCGCUGCGGGCGCAUGCGCAUCGGCGGCCAUAUUCGUCUCGGCGACAGUGAAGUCGGUGUUGAAUCGCGGUCAAGAUUUUUCGCAGAUUUUAAUCAUUAAAUAUUGAGGGGCGGGUCAAUUUACGUCGAGAAUGGCAAAUCAAGUGUUGUAUUAUCGUUGCAUUGUAUUCGUUUACGUCCGCGAGUAAUUAUUGUCGCGUAUUUUAAGCGGAAAUUCGUGUUCGCUCGAAGCGAGAGAAAUCCGCCGAAAUUGGGGGUCACACGAGUGAUCGCACGGACAACUACACAUAGGAAUCACAUAUGCAAUACGAAACAGCACGGUGAAUUUCGGAGUUUCAUCCAUGUACUCUACGAUGAAGCGGAAAAAGAGUCGAAAAUUGAAGAUCAAAGAAACAACUAUUACACGGUGAAAUGCUACGAGAUUUGAAUUGGUACGGCGGGAACAGACGCGGAUAAACGCUCGAUACUAACGAAUGGCUUGGGGCUAAAGUUGUGUCCGCCACCGAUGUGAGCUCCGUCCUGUUUCUUCGCUGCCAAAGAGGUCUUUGUGACUGGUGCAACAUUACCCGCGGAGGCAGUAUGUAUCGGAGACGGCAGGUUUGCGGUUGCGGGCGUCACAUGCGGUUUCCAGGUACUGCCACCUCUAUAAUGAUAAUUUAUAUCGUUCGUUAACAGACGUUGGUGGGCUUCCAAUUAUACAUCGUUGCAGUUUUAUAUUAUCAAAAUACUCGUUUCAUAAAAUCAUCAUAUUUUAA